GAUGAACGCUGGCGGCGUGCCUAAUACAUGCAAGUCGAGCGAACGGACGAGAAGCUUGCUUCUCUGAUGUUAGCGGCGGACGGGUGAGUAACACGUGGAUAACCUACCUAUAAGACUGGGAUAACUUCGGGAAACCGGAGCUAAUACCGGAUAAUAUUUUGAACCGCAUGGUUCAAAAGUGAAAGACGGUCUUGCUGUCACUUAUAGAUGGAUCCGCGCUGCAUUAGCUAGUUGGUAAGGUAACGGCUUACCAAGGCAACGAUGCAUAGCCGACCUGAGAGGGUGAUCGGCCACACUGGAACUGAGACACGGUCCAGACUCCUACGGGAGGCAGCAGUAGGGAAUCUUCCGCAAUGGGCGAAAGCCUGACGGAGCAACGCCGCGUGAGUGAUGAAGGUCUUCGGAUCGUAAAACUCUGUUAUUAGGGAAGAACAUAUGUGUGAGUAACUGUGCACAUCUUGACGGUACCUAAUCAGAAAGCCACGGCUAACUACGUGCCAGCAGCCGCGGUAAUACGUAGGUGGCAAGCGUUAUCCGGAAUUAUUGGGCGUAAAGCGCGCGUAGGCGGUUUUUUAAGUCUGAUGUGAAAGCCCACGGCUCAACCGUGGAGGGUCAUUGGAAACUGGAAAACUUGAGUGCAGAAGAGGAAAGUGGAAUUCCAUGUGUAGCGGUGAAAUGCGCAGAGAUAUGGAGGAACACCAGUGGCGAAGGCGACUUUCUGGUCUGUAACUGACGCUGAUGUGCGAAAGCGUGGGGAUCAAACAGGAUUAGAUACCCUGGUAGUCCACGCCGUAAACGAUGAGUGCUAAGUGUUAGGGGGUUUCCGCCCCUUAGUGCUGCAGCUAACGCAUUAAGCACUCCGCCUGGGGAGUACGACCGCAAGGUUGAUACUCAAAGGAAUUGACGGGGACCCGCACAAGCGGUGGAGCAUGUGGUUUAAUUCGAAGCAACGCGAAGAACCUUACCAAAUCUUGACAUCCUUUGACAACUCUAGAGAUAGAGCUUUCCCCUUCGGGGGACAAAGUGACAGGUGGUGCAUGGUUGUCGUCAGCUCGUGUCGUGAGAUGUUGGGUUAAGUCCCGCAACGAGCGCAACCCUUAAGCUUAGUUGCCAUCAUUAAGUUGGGCACUCUAAGUUGACUGCCGGUGACAAACCGGAGGAAGGUGGGGAUGACGUCAAAUCAUCAUGCCCCUUAUGAUUUGGGCUACACACGUGCUACAAUGGACAAUACAAAGGGCAGCGAAACCGCGAGGUCAAGCAAAUCCCAUAAAGUUGUUCUCAGUUCGGAUUGUAGUCUGCAACUCGACUACAUGAAGCUGGAAUCGCUAGUAAUCGUAGAUCAGCAUGCUACGGUGAAUACGUUCCCGGGUCU
rnacentral:rRNA from 1 species